UACGUAGGUGGCAAGCGUUGUCCGGAUUUACUGGGCGUAAAGAGCGCGCAGGCGGUCGAAUAAGUCGAAAUGUGAAAGCCCCCCGGCUUAACUGGGGGAGGGUCAUUCGAUACUGCUCGACUUGAAGGCAGGAGAGGGAAGUGGAAUUCCCGGUGUAGUGGUGAAAUGCGUAGAUAUCGGGGAGGAACACCGGUGGCGAAGGCGGCCACCUGGACGGUAACUGACGGCUGAGACGCGAAAGCGUGGGGAGCGAACAGG
rnacentral:rRNA from 1 species